AGCGAACGCUGGCCGCAGGCCUAACACAUGCAAGUCGAACGAAGUCUUCGGACUUAGUGGCGGACGGGUGAGUAAAACGUGGGAACGUGCCUUUAGGUCCGGAAUAACUCAGGGAAACUUGUGCUAAUACCGAAUGUGCCCUUCGGGGGAAAGAUUUAUCGCCUUUAGAGCGUCCCGCGUCUGAUUAGCUAGUUGGUAAGGUAAAGGGUCACCCAGGUGACGAUAAGUAGCUGGUCUGAGAGAAUGAUCAUCCACAUUGGGACUGCAAAACGGCUCAACCUCCUACGGGAGGACGCCGUGGGCGAUCUUGAGCAAUGGCCGAAAGCGUGACGCAGCCAUGCCGCGUGAAUGAUGAAGGUCUUAGGAUUGUAAAAUUCUUUCACCGGUUACGAUAAUGACGGUACCCGGAGAAGAAGCCCCGGCUAACUUCGUGCCAGCCGCCGCCGUAA
rnacentral:rRNA from 1 species